rnacentral:rRNA from 1 species
AAGUCGUAAUAAGGUCUCCGUUGGUGAACCAGCGGAGGGAUCAUUACCGAGUUUACAACUCCCAAACCCCUGUGAACAUACCUAUACGUUGCCUCGGCGGAUCAGCCCGCGCCCUGUAAAAAGGGACGGCCCGCCCGAGGACCCUAAACUCUGUUUUUAGUGGAACUUCUGAGUAAAACAAACAAAUAAAUCAAAACUUUCAACAACGGAUCUCUUGGUUCUGGCAUCGAUGAAGAACGCAGCAAAAUGCGAUAAGUAAUGUGAAUUGCAGAAUUCAGUGAAUCAUCGAAUCUUUGAACGCACAUUGCGCCCGCCAGUAUUCUGGCGGGCAUGCCUGUUCGAGCGUCAUUUCAACCCUCAAGCUCAGCUUGGUGUUGGGACUCGCGGUAACCCGCGUUCCCCAAAUCGAUUGGCGGUCACGUCGAGCUUCCAUAGCGUAGUAAUCAUACACCUCGUUACUGGUAAUCGUCGCGGCCACGCCGUAAAACCCCAACUUCUGAAUGUUGACCUCGGAUCAGGUAGGAAUACCCGCUGAACUUAAGCAUAUCA